rnacentral:rRNA from 1 species
CAGGAAGUUCCAUUAAGGGCGCAUGGUGGAUGCCUUGACUGAAUGGAGCGAUGAAAGACGUGGUCUGGCUGCGAUAAGUUUCGGGGAGGUGCCAAACAACCUUCGAUCCGAAAAUUUCUGAAUGGGGGAACCCCAUCGAGUAACACUCGAUGACCUUGUACUUGAUACAAGGAGCACACCCGGGGAAUUGAAACAUCUUAGUACCCGGAGGAAUAGAAACCAAUAGGUAUUUCCUGAGUAGCGGCGAGCGAAACGGAAGAAGCCCAAACCUUACUGCUUGCAGUAGGGGGUUGUAAGGCGUUAGUGCUGCAUUUAUGUAGGAAGAGUUACAAAAUAUGUUGUUAAAAGAACAACCUGGGAAGGUUGACCCUAGAGGGUAAUAGUCCCGUAUUUGAAAAUGACAUAUCUCUUUAGCUAACGUUCUUGAGUAGCUCGGGACACGAAUAGCCCGAGUGAAUCUGCCAGAACUAACUGGUAAGGCUAAAUAUACAUUCAGAUCGAUAGUGAACAAGUACCGUGAGGGAAAGGUGAAAAGAACCCCGAUGAGGGGAGUGAAAUAGAACUGAAACCAUGUGUCUACAAGGAGUCGAAGAGGUCUUGCGCCUCGACGGCGUGCCUAUUGAAGAAUGAGCCAACGAGUUAAUGCAUAUGGCUGGCUAAGCCCUUCUCGGGUGGAGCCACAGCGAAAGCGAGUGUGAAUAGCGCGAAUUAUAGUCGUAUGGAUUAGACCCGAAAUCAGGUGAGCUUACCAUGAGCAGGGUGAAGGAGUUCGAAAGAUCUCUGGAGGCCCGAACCGUUGCGUCGCGUAACGCGCUCGGAUGACUUGUGGUAAGGAGUGAAAAGCUAAUCGAACUUGGUAAUAGCUGGUUCUCUCCGAAACAGCUUUAGGGUUGGCGUCACGUGUUCCUACUGGGGGUAGAGCACUGGAAGGUGUGAACAGGGCGAAAGCUCGUCACUCCUAUCAAACUCCGAAUACCAGUAGUUAAAAGCGUGGCAGUUAGAGUCAGGGGGCGAAGCUCCUGUGCUCAAAAGGGAAACAGCCCAGAUCGCAAGUUAAGGUCCCUAAAUUGAUACUAAGUACAAGCGAGGAGGUGAGGUUUCUUUGACAGUGAGGAGGUUGGCUUAGAAGCAGCCACCCUUUAAAGAUAGCGUAACAGCUCACUCACUCAGAGACCUUGCGCCGAAGAUGAUCGGGGUUAAGUAUCGUACCGAAACUGCGGGCUUGUGAAUUUCAUUCAGGACAUGUUUACAUGUCCUGAAUGAAAUUCAUGAGCGGUAGGAGAGCGUUCCAUUCGCGAUGAAGCCAAAGGGGUGACCCAUGGUGGAGCAUAUGGAAGUGAGAAUGUUGGCACGAGUAACCGCAUUGUGGGUGAGAUUCCCACACGCCGAAAUACCGAGGUUUCCUGGGCUAUGAAGAUCAGCUCAGGGUUAGUCGGGCCUAAGCCGAUCCCGAACGGGGGAGGCGAUGGACAUACGGUUAAUAUUCCGUAACCUGCGCACUGUGCGAUGGAGUGACGGGGGAAACAAGUACGAGCACCUUACUGGAUUGGUGUUUUUUGUUCUAAGAGAGGAUACAUAGGAAAAUCCGUGUAUCACAUACUUUCGAGAACCGAAGAAAUUCUCUAGUUCGCUAGAGGAGAUUCGUGCGAAGAGCCCUCCAAGAAAAGCUUCUAAGCUUCAACAGUGUGUGGACCGUACCGCAAACCAACACAGGUGGUAGAGUCGAGAAGACUAAGGCGAACGGGUGAAAGUUCCUCAAGGAACUCGGCAAAAAAGCGACCGUAACUUAGGGAUAAGGUCUGCCUGCUGCUUUCGAGUAGUAGGCCGCAGCGAAAGAGUCCUGGCGACUGUUUAUCAAAAACACAGCUCCGUGCGAACUCGUAAGAGGAUGUAUACGGGGUGACGCCUGACCAAUGCCGGAAGGUUAAACAUGGAUGGUGUAUGAAGUUUACUUUGUAUGCUGGGCUAUGUAAGCCCCGGUGAAUGUCGGCCGUAACUAUAACGGUCCUAAGGUAGCGUAAUUCCUUGUCUAGUAAUUUUAGACGUGCACGAAUGGCGUAACGACUGGGACACUGUCUCGAGGAACUGCCCGGUGAAAAUGCAAUAGCGGUAAAGAUGCCGCUUACCUGCAGCAGGACGGAAAGACCCCAGGAGCUUUACUACAGCUUGAUAUUGGGGGCGUGUGAACAAUGCGUAGCAUAGAUGGGAGGCUUUGAAGCGAUUCUUUUGGGAGUCGUGGAGCCGUCAGUGAAAUACCAUCCUUUGUUUAUGCGUCUUCUAACCAGUAUGGAAAAACCAUAUCGAGACAGUAUCUGGCAGGUAGUUUUAGUGGGGCGCUAUCCUCCUAAAAAGUAACGGAGGAGUUUAAAGGUUCUCUAGGCGCGGAUGGAAACCGUGCCGAUAGUGUAAUGGCAUAAGAGAGCUUGACUGUGAGACGUACAUGUCAAACAGGCGCGAAAGCGGAACAUAGUGAACCGAUAGUUUGCUUUAGACGCAGCUAGAGAUUAACGGAUAAAAGUUACCCUGGGGAUAACAGGCUGGUACCGCCUAAGAGUCCAUAUCGCCGGCGGUGUUCGGCACCUUAACUUUAAGUAGAUACAUACAUACUUAUAACAUCGGGGUGCCUAGAGGAGUAAUCCUCUACAAAAAUAAAUUGGCUAUAUGCUGGAACCCCUAAAUAACCUGAAACUCAGUACAACCCAAACAGUGACUCGAAAGAGUGAGCUGCGUGGUUUGAAAAUGUACUUGAGAGGGCAAUCAGCAGGAAAGAUCUCUACGUUCAUGGACGAUGAAUACGAGAAAUCCUCAGAGACUACACGCCAAUCCCCUGUGGAACACACAGGGUGAAGAUAUAGUCCGAACCUGUCAGUAAUGGCAGUAUAAAAAUUAUUACAAUUGACCAAGUAAUGUGAACCAUGGUGGGAAGUUGAACACCCAUCAAACGACAGCGAUGUCGGCUCACCUUAUCCUGGGGCUGGAGCAGGUCCCAAGGGUUUGGCUGUUCGCCAAUUAAAAAGGUACGCGAGCUGGGUUCAGACCGUCGUGAGACAGGUUGGUCGUAAUCCGCUGCAGGCGUCGAUUUUUGAGAAGAUUUGUUCCUAGUACGAGAGGACCGGAAUGAACUGACCUCUGGUCUAUCGGCUGUUUCACCAGAAGCACUGCCGAGUAGCUAUGUCGGGAAAGGAUAACCGCUGAAAGCAUCUAAGCGGGAAGCCAACUUCAAGAUAAGAAAUCAUUUGAGAUCCGUAGGAGACUACUACGUUGAUAGGCACUAGGUGUACGUACAGCGAUGUACUUAGCCGAGGUGUACUAAUUCAUCGAGGAGUUUCCUGUA